rnacentral:tRNA from 1 species
UAAGAAACAAAAUUUGUAAUUAGUUUCGACCUAAUAUUUGAUGACCUACCAUCCUUAU